GUCUGAGUCCCGUAGUUGGUCAAUCGGGCCGCACUUAAGUCCUUUAGGAUUUUGCGGUAGCGUAAGCUUUCCUGGGUUCGAACCCCAGCUCAGACA